rnacentral:rRNA from 1 species
UACGAGGGGAGCUAGCGUUAUUCGGAAUUACUGGGCGUAAAGCGCACGUAGGCGGCUUUGUAAGUAAGAGGUGAAAGCCCAGAGCUCAACUCUGGAAUUGCCUUUUAGACUGCAUCGCUUGAAUCCAGGAGAGGUGAGUGGAGUUCCGAGUGUAGAGGUGAAAUUCGUAGAUAUUCGGAAGAACACCAGUGGCGAAGGCGGCUCACUGGUCCGGUACCGACGCUGAGGUGCGAAAGCGUGGGGAGCAAACAGG